UAAAAGAUGAUUAUGUGCUUCUUCACGAGACGAAAGCUGAUUGAUUGUAUGUAUAUAUUGACCCCGCGAAACCAAACGAGAUGAAAUAGCGAUGCAUCUCGCAGUCUCCACCUUGUCUCCAGUAAGCAUCCAAACAUGGAUUCCUGCAUUGCGUAACAGUUCCAGAGUGAUUUUUACAUCUUUCUGUAGUUUGUCCUCUACACCUGUAAGCCCCAAAAGAUCCAUGUCGUUUUCUAAAUAUCUCGAAACAAUUUCUUCCAUCUUUUUGUCCCUUGAAUUCGAAAAUGACAAGCUGGCAUCAGAGUGUGC